ACCCCACGGAGAAACACACACCUUUGUCCUCGGUUGGGUCGAAGUUUGUCAUCAAAUUCUAGUAUGAAACCCUAAUUUAUAUAUGAACCAAGAAUAAUCACAUCCAAUUGAUUAGUUUUCUUCCAGCCAUGGACGCUCAGAGAGCUUUGUUGGAUGAACUAAUGGGCUCAGCUCGGAAUUUAACUGAAGACGAGAGGAGAGGGUACAAGGAAGUCAAAUGGGACGACAAGGAAGUUUGUGCAUACUAUAUGGUUCGAUUUUGCCCACACGAUCUCUUCGUCAAUACCAAAAGUGAUUUGGGACCCUGCCUUAAAAUUCAUGAAGCAAAGUUGAAGGAAAGUUUUGAGAACUCUCCGAGACACGAUUCUUAUGCUCCCAAGUUUGAAGCAGAACUGGCCCAUUACUGUGAGAAGUUGGUGAUGGACUUGGAUAAGAAAGUUAGGCGUGGUCGGGAACGCCUUGCUCAGGAGGUUGAAGUUCCCCCACCUCCUCCAAUAUCAGCAGAAAAAUCUGAGCAAUUAUCUGUCUUGGAGGAGAAGAUUAAAAACUUGCUAGAACAAGUGGAGUCUCUUGGUGAAGCUGGGAAAGUUGAUGAAGCUGAAGCUCUCAUGAGAAAGGUGGAAAUGUUAAACAGUGAAAAGACGGCCUUGAGUCAGCAAACACAGCAGAACAGUGCACUAAUGAUUGCACAAGAGAAAAAGAUGGCUUUGUGCGAAACAUGUGGUUCGUUUCUUGUCGCAAAUGAUGCUGCAGAGAGGACUCAGUCUCACGUCACUGGUAAGCAGCAUGUUGGCUAUGGGAUGGUUCGAGAUUUCUUAUCCGAGUACAAGGCUGCUAAAGAGAAGGCAAGGGAGGAGGAAAGGUUAGCCAGGGAGAAAGAAGCAGAAGAAAGGAAAAAGCUGAGGGAGAAAGAAAAUGACAGCAGACGACGAAGAAGUGAAUCAUCUGACAGGGACAAGCACAAAGAUCGAGAUUAUGACAGGGAACGGGAUCGCUACCGAGGAAGAGAUCGUGGCCCUGACAGGAAUGGCAGAGGAAGCCGUGAUUUCGAAAGGGGGUCAGAUUGGAAACAUGGGAUUUCCAGAAAUGGGAGAAACAGAAGCAGGGAGAGACGCGAUAGAAGCAGGUCACACUCUCCUAUUAGACAUGGUUCCAGGAGGUCCAGGAGUCCAGUUCGCAAGUAUUAGAGGAGUAUAAAUCGUAGAUGUCUGAACUUUGAAAUUUGAAGAGGUAGACUUUUUUAUAACUCACCAAUUUCAUGAAUGUAUGCUUUCGGGUCCUAAGUGCCAUUGCCAUCAUGUGUAAAACUGUUUUUUGUUCUCACAGCUCUUUUGAGACUAUACCAUCUCCCUAUCAUCAAUAUAAUUAGAGAAGAAAGGGUUGAGUUAAAAAACAGAUUCAUUAGUUAUGCAUGGAUAAUGCUGCUAGAGGGAGAUCCUUGCAUGGUUAUUCCUUAAGUGAGAUGGCUCAGAGCAAUUUAGUGUUAAUUGUUAUUGCAUAUUUGGCGUGUCAGUGAGCUCAUGAAUAUGAAAGGCUCCAUGUAAUUUGUCUAUCAUCCGAGCUCAGAUAGGUAACCUCUAUUCUGACUUACUUACCAUCCCUCUACCUUCUUGUGUGUGGAGCUAAAAUUCAUGCAGGCAGCAUUGUGGACAUAAGGCAGCUAAUGAUUCUAAUGUGCAAUCAACAACUGAUCAUUGAAUAGGUAAUAGUUGCAAACAUUAAACACGCGCUUAUUUGUCCACUUGGGUUAGUACCUGCAGGCUUCAUGUAUAGUAUCACUUUCUCAGACAUUUCCUCUUAACGGAUACAUUAUACGUUCCCUCUUCCUGCAAUUUAUUUUACUGCAAGGAGAUGGGUAUCUUCAGCUCAGACUAAGCUCUAGAAAUGUCUGCCUGUGAAAUUAUAGAAACUGUGUCUAGACUAGAUUGGCCAAGGCCCCUGUGCUUAGCACAGACCCGAUGUAGUGAUUAUCACUGUGGCCAGCUACUGAAGAAUAUUUUGCGAACUCUCUUUUAGGAAGCAAAAGUUAAAAAAUUCUACUUCCACUCUGGUGAAGAACAGAUGAUAUGUAUAAUGGCUUUUCAGCAUCACCUUGGGAGUCCUUCAGCAAGAAUUUACUGAGAUCAAGCAUGAAGCUGAGCAUCAUGUUCCUCCAUUCCGAAGAGAACAUGUAUUGGCAAAAAAAUUUGGUGUUGAGGAGUUUUUGGUUAGAAAGCAUUUUGUGGAAGGAUUUCAGAGAACGCAAAGUUGACUUAAAUCUUCCACUGCGAUACCCAAGGUUUAUUUUAUCAUUAUUUUUGUUCUUUUUUCAUGACUGUCAGAAAAGUUAAUUACCAACAACUUUUUUAUCACUAACAUAUGGUCAUUACGGCUAAUAAUAGAAUUAAUCAAGUUCCAAGGAA